CAACAGUAUGUACAGAAUCUGUCAAACUCUUUUGGUAAGCUCUGAUAGCAUAGAGUUUGAGAACAGCAAAAUCAUGUUUGAUAAAUUGUCAACCAUGAUCACGGACAUAACAGGCGCUUGUCUUACCAACCUACAAAGAGUUAUGCAAUGCCACCAUGGCACCAUUAAGGAGAGAUCAAAAGGUGUCCGUUCUGCCAUCUUACUUCUCGGAAAAGCAGAGAAUAUUCUGGAAAUUCUUCGUUCACAGCCACUUCCAAGUUCAGUACCAGAUCAAUUGUCAAAAAUUGAUCAUUGGUGUACACUGAGCAAAGAGGAAGACUACCUCUCCUGCAGUCGUAGUUCAACCUCAUAUUGUACUCCAACUUCCCAAAGUUCAUCUGACUUGUAUCUAACUGUGGACUAAGAAACAAAUGCCACCUUGUUUGGAUAGUCGUUACAUAUUGUUUUAUAAUGUAUCAUAUUAUAUUGCAUUUGUAUUGAUGUACUAUUUUGAUGAAUACAAUGUUUGGAGAGAUUGUAUCCUGCUCCUUCGUAACAUUAUGCUAUACAUUACCAAUUUGAAGGAUAAAACAUUGUAUUUAAACUAACAACACAAUACAAUAUAAUAGGUAACAACCAUCCAAACAAGCUGUGAAAGUGAAAGAAGAAAAAGGUAGGUUAAGUUCUAUUGCAAUAGUAACAUAUUUGUCAACAGAAUCAUAUUUGUUUCACAUCAAAUCUCCAGCUUGUUCUCUAAAUAGCAACUCAAUUACUACUUCCCCUUGAAAAUACUAGAGAACUAUUCCAACUUAAUCAACAGUUAAACAAAAUCUACGAUGAUGAGCUACAAUAAUUUUGAUAUUUCUAAGCCAAUAUUAUGGUUCAUUGUGUAAGGUAAUUAUUCAAUUGAAAUAAGCAAUAGUCCUCUAAUAUAGCACACAAAAUAACCUGCAAUUUCUAUUAAUUGGUGAAUUCAGUCAAAACUACCAUACUAGUCCUCCUUUUUCAGUCUAACGUCGUCUUGAGUGUAGCACUAACAGAAAAAACCUCUUUGAAUUACAACAUCCCAACCCUAUAAGUCUUACUUACAAGUCAUAUAGACCUGCCUAGUACUUCAGAUAGAAAAACAGAAUAGAUUAUUAUGUAUGUUGGAUCAGGUAAAAGCAAAAAAAUUAUCACUUAAUAGCACCAAGAAAGUGCUUAAACUGUACACAGACAAAAGUGAACACCAGUGUUACUCAACUAGUACAUUUCUGAAUGUUGUCUUCAGUAACCACCUGGUUUAUACUAUGCCCACAACAUCUACAUUCAGGUUCCUAAUCUUAAGUCUACUAAUGAAUUCUAUGGGAUCCCUAUCAACAUUACCAAGCAGAUCCCAAUUUUAAUACGAAAUCCUAUGAAGCUGAGAAAACAGUAGUGAAUUUUAUUAGACAGAAUUGAACUUGUUCGUAAAUUUCAUUUAGACAUUCGAACCACAAUUACUUUGUAUCUUAGGUGUCAUCUACAAACAUAUAGCCAGACGAAUAGUAGUUGAGUAUCUUAAUAUUCAAUGAAUAGAAAAACUAAUUCAACAUGACAGAACCCUAAGAAAAGUCAUCAAUGGUUAGCUGUUUGAUCUAGAUUUUUUCAAAGGUUGCAAUUUCCAGUGAUUUUGGAGUCAAAGACAAGAAAAGUCUAUUGAAGAAGAUGCAGUCUGAAAAGUCAACCCAUUUCCUUGUUGGGUGGAAAGGUUUCCCCUUCUUAUUUUAUUUUUAAAACUAAAUAAGGGACUGAAUUAUGUGAAGGGAAUAACAAAUAUUGAAACUACAAUUCAUUGUGGGAAAGACCAGUGGCACCACAAGCUAAUAAUAGUAAACCUCAGUUCUUUUCAUAUUCUUUUUGUUUUUUAAAAGUUAGUACUGUGUAUUACACUGGGUAAUCAGAGAAGGGAACAUUGAAAAUUCAUCUCACAGUAUUACUAAUUUGGGACCCAUCAAGUGAGCUAAUCAACAUGUCCUGUACUAUACGGCUAUACCUAUUGUCCCACCUUUUGACUAGCAGACAAUCCUGGCAACUAGCAACUACUUGGACCCACCAUCCCACCCACCCCUAUCUAGGGGACGGGCAUCAGAUAAUAACAAAUAAAAUAACAUACUAGUAUAUGUCAAGUGUACGCAAAUCUUACCUCAAUCUUGGUGGAAUAGAGAGGUUGUUUCCAAGAGGCUUCGAAAAAUUCUAGACAUGCGUGCUUGACUUUAAUACUAAACACAUCAGAGGAACCCCUCCAGCAAUCAAAGCCAAUUAUAACUCACAAAAUUUCAAAUAAGUGAUAAUGUUGUUGACUUUUCUAACAUCAUUCAAUAAGUGAAAUCAUCCAUGACAAAAUCAAGUAAAUGGCAUAAUUUCAGUGAAGAUGUUACCAGAAAAAGUAAAUCUUGGAAAACACUGGAAAUAGCUUGAAAGAGAGUCAAAGAAACAAAUAGAUAUGAUUGCAGCAAAAAACCCAGAGUAGAUUCACCCCACAAGAAAUUCUCAAAAUACUCCACCAUAGACAGAUUUCAGCUUUGAAACGAGAUGGGAAAGAUUGGUUGCACCAUAGAUGGCAACCUAGAUGACUCGAAAUACAGCGAGCCGAUGCCAUGGAUCGGUAUCUAUGUUGCAGCAGCAUCUGCAGCUUGUGCACUGGCCAUGGCGAUUGAUGUCCUUCAUGGCCUGCGCCGUAGAAAAUUAUGGUUUCCUUGCAACUUCUUCUCUUGAAAGAGAGUCAAAGAAACAAAUAGAUAUGGCUGCAGCUAAAUACCCAGAGUAGAAACACCCCCCUCAAGAAAUCCUCAAAUACUCCACAUACACAAAGAUUUCACCUUUUAAACGAGAUGGGAAAGAUUGGUUGCACCAUAGAUGGCAACCUGGAUGACUCAAAAUUCAGCGAGCCGAUGCCAUGGAUCGGUAUCUAUGUUGCAGCAGCAUCUGCAGCUUGUGCACUGGCCAUGGCGAUUGAUGUCCUUCAUGGCCUGCGCCGUAGAAAAUUAUGGUUUCCUUGCAACUUCUUCUCUCUUAACGCUACGACCUUGACGCUCCUAGCUGUUGCCACCAAGUUGUCUGUUGAUCUAAAUACAUCCAUGCCUCGCCGACAAGAUCAGCUGACAAAACUUAGCAGUGCUGCUCUAAUCUGUACGGUAAUUGCUAAUUUUUUGCCUUCUUUAGGACUCAUGGAGAAUACAGACCUGUUGAUGAACAUAAUGGCUUUGGGGAUUUUCGUCAUCACGGCCAUCGUGAACAUUGGCAUACAAUUAGCUACUGGUGUUAUCUACGUUUUCAGCAAAGAGCAUAUAGCCCUCAUGUUUCUUAUGCUUAUUUUGCUUCUGUUACUGAUCUCCUCAGCCUUGACAAUACCAACUACAAAGUAUUAUUUGGACCUGAAAUACAACAAGAGGUACAAGUUAGCAAACAAAGAAUGCAACAUCAGCUAUACAUGCAAAACUCAGAAACUGAAGGACGAACUGAUGAGAUUAUGGACCAUGGCCUAUACCUCUAGCCCCCACUUUGUUGCGGGGCGCUUAGCAACAUGCACUGCCUCUGGAGGUUUCUGCCUUCUGAGCACAGUAAUUUAUGCUCAAGCCAUGCUUAGGUCUUACUUUCUCCAUUCGAGCUUCAGCUUUUGUAGUGGAGAAUCUGAAUACAAGUGGUCCACAACCUUAAUUCUUGUAACUCACACAGUGGCAAUAGGAGUAGGAACUAUUGCACCAGCUUUUAGAUGGUUCAUAGCCAUAAAUUUCCAAUGCCCCAAAAAAACAAAUAAUGCCUGCAAACUCACGUUGUUCAAAGUGGAGAACUACUGGAUCCAUAUACUGCUUAAGUGGAAAGAAUGCCCGUUGGAUUUCAGAAUUUGUGGCCGGCAUGGUAGAAAAUUCGCUCAUAAGACAAAGAACAAACUUCUCGAUUUCUGCAUUUGGAUGCAAAUUCUGAUGGUGUCACUCAGUAAGGUAGUUCGGGUCAUUUCCACUUUCUCUGUGAGUUGGUUACUGAUAAGCUGUCAGAAAGCAACCAGGAUGCUGAAAUGCAAAAAUGUGGUGUCUAGUCAUGAUAUAGAGUCACAAGCUAGUCUAAAGCCAGAUCUUAGCCACUAUGUUUUACACCUCGAAGGAGAGGAAGCAUUAAUUGAUUUGAUGAUGCAAAGCAACUGUGAUGUGGUAGACAAAUGGAUAGGGAUGGGGAAAAAGGAGCAACCUAAACAUCUAAUACGAUUUUUAGAGAAAGUGAAGUCAUCACCUGGAUUCAGGGGAGUGCACGAAUUUGACCAUGCUAAAAUUCCUUCUUUAGACACGGAAGAACCUCCUAAUUGCUGGGCUCUUCCUAUAGUGACACUGACAAGCAUUGCAAUUGCACUUCCAGACAUUGAUUUCCACUUAAUCAAGGAAUUAAUAAGGAGUGUGUAUGAAGGUCUCAUGUACGUCAAACUUGUUGAAGAGAACCUGGAUAGCAGAAAAGACCUAGUAUACAUCAGGAAGGCAGCAGAGUUAGUGUGGGUAGAAGUUGACUUAUGUUACAAGUGGCUGGACAUCGAUCUCCGCAAAGCUGCCACUGAAGGACAAAAUCCAAAAGGUGUGCUUGAAGGACUCUCUGAGAAAGCAAAGCAGAGAUUCGUCGAAUUCAGAAAGAAAGAUCCAAAUGCUUGUUUAAAGGAUUCACCUUCAAAAUGGCCUAACAAUAUGUUGGCAGCAAACUGUAUGUACAGAGUAUGUCAAACUCUUCUGCAAAGUUCUGAUAGCAAAGCGUUUGAGAACAGCAAAACCAUGUUUGACAGAUUGUCAACAAUGAUUGCGGAUAUAACAAGUGCAUGUCUUACCAACCUUGAUAGAGUUAUAUCCAUGCAAUGCCACCAUGGCACCAUUGAAGAGAGAGCAGCAGGUGUCCGCUCUGCCAUCUUGCUUCUGGGGAAAGCAGAGAGUUUUCUGCAUAUUCUUCGUUCACAGACACUCCCAAGUUCAGCACCAGAUCAAUUGGGAAAAAUUGAUCAUUGGCGCUCACAUAGCAAAGAGGUAGAUUACCCCUCCUGCAGUAGUAGCUCACCCUCAAAUUUUUCUCCAACUUCCCAAAGUUCAUCUGACUUGUAUCUAACUGUGGACUAAGAAGCAAAUGCCUGAAAGUGGAAAAAGAAUAAAGAUGCUGCUUAAGUUCUAUUGCAAUAGUACCAUAUUUGUUUAUUUUUAUGCUUUGUAUGAUACAACUGAAAUUUAUUUGUUUCACAUCAAGACUCUAGCUUGUUUUAUAAAUAAUAACACCUUGAAGGAGAGGAAGCUUUAAUUGAUUUGAUGAUGCAAAGCAACAGUGAUCUGGUAGAUCAUUGGAUUGGGAUAGGGGAAAAGAAGCAGCUUAAACAUCUUCUACGACUUCUGGAGAAACUGAAAUCAUCACCUGGAUUCAGAGGAGUGCAUGAAUUUGAUAGUGCUCACAUUCCUUCGCUUAACUAGGAAGAUCCUCCUAAUUGCUGGGCUCUCCCAGUAAUGACACUAACAAGCGUAUCAAUUGCACUUCCAAACAUCAACUUUCAUUCAAUCAAGGAACUCAUCGGGUGUGUGAAUGAAGGUCUCAUGUACAUCAAAGUAGCGGAAGAUAACCUGGAUGCAAGAAAAGACCUCGCAAAUAUCAGGCGGGCGGGCAGCAGAAUUAGUGUGGUUAGAUGUUGAUCUAUGUUACAAGUGGCUGGAUGUGGAUCUCCAGAAGACAGCCACUGAAGGACAAAAUUCCAAAGACAUGCUUGAAGGUCUCUCUGAGAAAGCAAAGCAGAGAUUCAUCGAAUUCAGAAAGAAAGAUUUGACUGUUUGUCCAAAGGAAUCACAAAAUGGCCUACCAAUAUGUUGGCAGCCAACUGUAUGUACGGAAUGUACGGAAUCUGUCAAACUCUUUUGGUAAGUUCUGAUAUCAUAGAGUUUGAGAACAGCAAAAUCAUGUUUGAUAAACUGUCAAUCAUGAUCACUGAUCACGGGCAUAACAGGCGCUUGUCUUACAAACCUACAAAGAGCUAUGCAAUGCCACCAUGGCACCAUUAAGGAGAGAUCAAAAGGUGUCCGUUCUGCCAUCUUACUUCUCGGAAAAACAGAGAAUAUUCUGGAAAUUCUUCGUUCACAGCCACUUCCAAGUUCAGCACCAGAUCAAUUGGCG
rnacentral:lncRNA from 1 species